GUGAGUAACACGUAGGUAAUCUGCCGUAGAGUGGGGGAUAACCCAUGGAAACAUGGACUAAUACCGCAUAUACUCUUGACACAUAAGUGUAGUAGAGGAAAGGAGCAAUCCGCUUUACGAUGAGCCUGCGGCCUAUUAGCCUGUUGGUGAGAUAAAAGCCCACCAAAGCUACGAUAGGUAGCCGACCUGAGAGGGUGACCGGCCACAUUGGGACUGAGAUACGGCCCAGACUCCUACGGGAGGCAGCAGCUGAGAAUCUUCCACAAUGGACGAAAGUCUGAUGGAGCGACAUCGCGUGAGGGAUGAAGGCCUUCGGGUUGUAAACCUUGGAAAUUAUCGAAGAAUGAGUGACAGUAGAUAAUGUAAGCCUCGGCUAACUACGUGCCAGCAGCCGCGGUAAUACGUAGGAGGCAAACGUUGCUCGGAUUUACUGGGCGUAAAGGGUGAGUAGGCGGAACUAUAAGUCUAAGGUGAAAUAUCGAAGCUCAACUUCGGAAACGCCUCGGAUACUGUGGUU
rnacentral:rRNA from 1 species